rnacentral:lncRNA from 1 species
AAAACUCAGAGCCCAUGCCAGUUCUCAGGAGAAAUAAACCCAGGAACCCCUUCAGCUGCAUAUCUAAGUCUAGGCUCAGGGUGGGGUCCACUCCCCUCCUCCACCCCCGGGGAGCACAGAAACUACCCCUCAGGGAAGAAGUUAGAUGGUGCAGGGGCUUGAGAGGUAGCACAGGGACUGUCACAUCUUCAGUUCCAGGGUCCGGCGAUGUUCCUGGCUGAGUCCAUUGGGACGCUGGCUUCAGAACUGCCCGGGGUACGUCUCUGAGCACUGCUUCCGGCCUGCCUCCCAGACGGCCCCCUUGCUCCCCCAGUCCCUCCCGAGGCUCACACAGCCAGACCAGGUCCUCUGAAAAUACACAGCAUCUUGGGUUUAUUUGGGGUUGGGCACCUCAGGUUCAGGCACAGUUU